UGAGGAAUAUUGGUCAAUGGGCGAGAGCCUGAACCAGCCAAGUAGCGUGCAGGAUGACGGCCCUAUGGGUUGUAAACUGCUUUUAUGUGGGGAUAAAGUGCGUGACGUGUCAUGCAUUGCAGGUACCACAUGAAUAAGGACCGGCUAAUUCCGUGCCAGCAGCCGCGGUAAUACGGAAGGUCCGGGCGUUAUCCGGAUUUAUUGGGUUUAAAGGGAGCGUAGGCUGUCUAUUAAGCGUGUUGUGAAAUGUAGGAGCUCAACUUCUAGAUUGCAGCGCGAACUGUCAGACUUGAGUGCGCACAACGUAGGCGGAAUUCAUGGUGUAGCGGUGAAAUGCUUAGAUAUCAUGACGAACUCCGAUUGCGAAGGCAGCUUACGGGAGCGCAACUGACGCUAAAGCUCGAAGGUGCGGGUAUCGAACAGG
rnacentral:rRNA from 1 species